rnacentral:rRNA from 1 species
UUCCCUACGGGAGGCAGCAGUGGGGAAUAUUGCGCAAUGGGGCAAACCCCGACGCAGCGACGCGGCGGGAGAGAAGAAGGCCUUCGGGUCGUAAACUCCUGUCGGAAGGGAAGAAACUGUUAGGGUAUAAUACGCCAUUUCAGUGACGGUACCUCCAAAGGAAGCACCGGUUAACUCCGUCCCAGCAGCCGCGGUAAUACGGAGGGUGCGAGCUUUAAUUGGAAUCACUGGGCGUAAAGCGCACGUAGGCGGCGCAUCAAGUCAGGCGUGAAAGCCCUCGGCUCAACCGGGGAAUUGCGUUUGAAACUGGUGUGCUGGAGUAUCGGAGAGGUUGGCGGAAUUCCAGGUGUAGGAGUGAAAUCCGUAGAUAUGGGGAGGAACACCGGUGGGGAAGGCGGCCAACUGGACGAGUACUGACGCUGAGGUGCGGAAGCGUGGGGACCAAACAGGAUUCAUACCCUGGUACUCCCCGCUUAAACGAUGGAUAUUAGGUGUCGGGGGUUACCUUCGGUGCCGCAGUAACGC